rnacentral:rRNA from 1 species
UACGAAGGGGGCUAGCGUUGCUCGGAAUCACUGGGCGUAAAGGGCGCGUAGGCGGCGUUUUUAAGUCGGGGGUGAAAGCCUGUGGCUCAACCACAGAAUGGCCUCGAUACUGGGACGCUUGAGUAUGGUAGAGGUUGGUGGAACUGCGAGUGUAGAGGUGAAAUUCGUAGAUAUUCGCAAGAACACCGGUGGCGAAGGCGGCCAACUGGACCAUUCUGACGCUGAGGCGCAAAGCGUGGGGAGCAAACGGAU